rnacentral:rRNA from 1 species
GAUCCUGGCUCAGGAUGAACGCUAGCUACAGGCUUAACACAUGCAAGUCGCGGGGUAACAUCUGGGAGAGCUUGCUCUUCCAGGAUGACGACCGGCGCACGGGUGAGUAACGCGUAUCCAACCUGGCCCAUACCACGGGAUAGCCCGUCGAAAGGCGGAUUAAUACCGUAUGCUGUCAUUAAGAGGCAUUUUUUGAUGACGAAAGGACUGGCGGUAUGGGAUGGGGAUGCGUCUGAUUAGCUUGUUGGCGGGGUAACGGCCCACCAAGGCGACGAUCAGUAGGGGUUCUGAGAGGAAGGUCCCCCACAUUGGAACUGAGACACGGUCCAAACUCCUACGGGAGGCAGCAGUGAGGAAUAUUGGUCAAUGGGCGAGAGCCUGAACCAGCCAAGUAGCGUGCAGGAAGACGGCCCUAUGGGUUGUAAACUGCUUUUAUAAGGGAAUAAAGUUAGUCUCGUGAGACUUUUUGCAUGUACCUUAUGAAUAAGGACCGGCUAAUUCCGUG